rnacentral:rRNA from 1 species
GGAGCUUGCUCCACCGGAAAAAGAGGAGUGGCGAACGGGUGAGUAACACGUGGGUAACCUGCCCAUCAGAAGGGGAUAACACUUGGAAACAGGUGCUAAUACCGUAUAACAAUCGAAACCGCAUGGUUUUGAUUUGAAAGGCGCUUUCGGGUGUCGCUGAUGGAUGGACCCGCGGUGCAUUAGCUAGUUGGUGAGGUAACGGCUCACCAAGGCCACGAUGCAUAGCCGACCUGAGAGGGUGAUCGGCCACAUUGGGACUGAGACACGGCCCAAACUCCUACGGGAGGCAGCAGUAGGGAAUCUUCGGCAAUGGACGAAAGUCUGACCGAGCAACGCCGCGUGAGUGAAGAAGGUUUUCGGAUCGUAAAACUCUGUUGUUAGAGAAGAAUAAGGAUGAGAGUAACUGUUCAUCCCUUGACGGUAUCUAACCAGAAAGCCACGGCUAACUACGUGCCAGCAGCCGCGGUAAUACGUAGGUGGCAAGCGUUGUCCGGAUUUAUUGGGCGUAAAGCGAGCGCAGGCGGUUUCUUAAGUCUGAUGUGAAAGCCCCCGGCUCAACCGGGGAGGGUCAUUGGAAACUGGGAGACUUGAGUGCAGAAGAGGAGAGUGGAAUUCCAUGUGUAGCGGUGAAAUGCGUAGAUAUAUGGAGGAACACCAGUGGCGAA